GACGAACGCUGGCGGCGUGCUUAACACAUGCAAGUCGAACGGAAAGGCCCUGCUUUUGUGGGGUGCUCGAGUGGCGAACGGGUGAGUAACACGUGAGUAACCUGCCCUUGACUUUGGGAUAACUUCAGGAAACUGGGGCGAAUACCGGAUAGGAGCUCCUGCUGCAUGGUGGGGGUUGGAAAGUUUCGGCGGUUGGGGAUGGACUCGCGGCUUAUCAGCUUGUUGGUGGGGUAGUGGCUUACCAAGGCUUUGACGGGUAGCCGGCCUGAGAGGGUGACCGGCCACAUUGGGACUAAGAUACGGCCCAGACUCCUACGGGAGGCAGCAGUGGGGAAUAUUGCACAAUGGGCGGAAGCCUGAUGCAGCAACGCCGCGUGCGGGAUGACGGCCUUCGGGUUGUAAACCGCUUUCGCCUGUGACGAAGCGUGAGUGACGGUAAUGGGUAAAGAAGCACCGGCUAACUACGUG
rnacentral:rRNA from 1 species